UACGAAGGGGGGCUAGCGUUGCUCGGAAUCACUGGGCGUAAAGCGCACGUAGGCGGAUCUUUAAGUCAGGGGUGAAAUCCCGGGGCUCAACCUCGGAACUGCCCUUGAUACUGGGGAUCUCGAGUCCGGAAGAGGUUGGUGGAACUCCGAGUGUAGAGGUGAAAUUCGUAGAUAUUCGGAAGAACACCAGUGGCGAAGGCGGCCAACUGGUCCGGCACUGACGCUGAGGUGCGAAAGCGUGGGGAGCAAACAGG
rnacentral:rRNA from 1 species